UUCUCUGCCCCGGGCGCGUCGCAGCCCCGGAUCCCAUGGCGCCCGCCGGAGGACCAACUCAAACUCUUUUUUCUCUCCGUCGCGGCCUACGUCGCGGCUCUGUUUUAUUUUUGCUCUGAGCCUUUCUCGGCGACCCUAGCGGGCGUCUCGAAAAUGAAUCAAAACUUUCAACAACGGAUCUCUUGGUUCUGGCAUCGAUGAAGAACGCAGCGAAAUGCGAUAAGUAAUGUGAAUUGCAGAAUUCAGUGAAUCAUCGAAUCUUUGAACGCACAUUGCGCCCGCCAGUAUUCUGGCGGGCAUGCCUGUCCGAGCGUCAUUUCAACCCUCGAACCCCUCCGGGGGGUCGGCGUUGGGGAUCGGCCCCUCACCGGGCCGCCCCCGAAAUACAGUGGCGGUCUCGCCGCAGCCUCUCCUGCGCAGUAGUUUGCACACUCGCACCGGGAGCGCGGCGCGGCCACAGCCGUAAAACACCCCAAACUCUGAAAUGUUGACCUCGGAUCAUGGUAGGAAUACC
rnacentral:rRNA from 1 species